CGGCGAGCGUUCCCGGAGCCGUGCCCACAAUCCCCCCAAGGACAGCGAAGGAACUGAGCACUUCCCACAGCUUUCCGGGAGGAUUCUGAAGGAUCGGCAGCACCCGCAGAACUCCGUCAGCAGCGUGGCCGGAGGAGGAUGCGAGCGGCGGCACCGGCGGGGCUUCGGCGGGCGGCUACCAAGCGCGGCGCCGUGGAUAUGAAGCGGCGGCGGGGAGCCGGAGCCGGCGGGGCUGCCCCAGCCACCCCUUGUCGGCGAGCCUGAGGAGAAUGGAGUCACAAAGGGCUCGGGCGGACACGUGCGGCCGCGGCUAGGGCCACCCCCUGCCCUCCUCCCGCCCUCCUCCCCUCCCCGCUAUGCUCCGCUGCCGCCGGGCUGCUCGGCGCGCUCGACGCACGGCGGCGAUGGAGCCGGCCGGGCUGCUGUGAGGCCGCGGCCGCAGCCAGCAUGGCCUCGGUGGAGGGGACCUGGGAGCGGCCGGAGGCGCGGGGGGGCCGCGGGGCCGGGCUCGGCUCCCCCCUGCCGGCUGCGGGGGAAGGUGGCGGCUGCGCCGGGUCGGGCACCGCCGCGGCAACAGUUCCCGGGCACGAUCAGGGCCUCGGAACCGCCGCCUCUGGAGCUGCCCGCCCCUCUGCCGCCGGCAGCGGAAGCUUCCCGCGGGGCACGGAGCCCGGCCGCGGGAUCCCCCCGGUGCUGCCGCCGCUGCUGCUGCCAGGUCCCCCGGGCGGAGCCUACCUGCGAGCCGUGCUGGCGGACUCGCGGUUCUUCUUGGUGUGCAUGUGCUUCCUGACCUUCAUCCAGUCCCUGAUGGUCUCCGGCUACCUGAGCAGCGUCAUCACCACCAUUGAGCGCAGAUACAGCCUGAAGAGCUCGGAGUCGGGGCUGCUGGUCAGCUGCUUCGACAUCGGCAGCCUCGUGGUCGUGGUCUUCAUUAGCUACUUCGGGGGCCGCGGGCGCAGGCCGCUCUGGCUGGCCGUGGGGGGGUUCUUCAUCGCCUUGGGGGCUGCGCUCUUCUCCUUACCUCACUUCAUCUCCCCGCCGUACCAGAUCCAGGAGCUGAACUCCUCUGUCAGCAACGAGGGCUUGUGCGUGACGGGUAACGGCAGCGCCAAGGAGCAGUGGGACUCGCCGGGCUGCCUCAAGGACUCGGGCAGCAACGACCACUCUCUCUAUGUGGCUUUAUUCAUUUGUGCCCAGAUCCUUAUUGGUAUGGGCUCCACACCCAUCUAUACCCUGGGACCGACCUACCUAGAUGACAACGUCAAGAAGGAGAAUGCCUCGCUCUACCUAGCCAUCAUGUAUGUGAUGGGAGCCCUGGGCCCUGCUGCUGGGUACCUGCUGGGAGGACUUCUCAUUGGCUUCUACGUGGAUCCCAGGACAACUGUUUAUAUUGACCAGAGCGACCCCCGCUUCAUUGGCAACUGGUGGAGUGGCUUUCUCCUCUGUGCCAUUGCCAUGCUCCUCGUCAUCUUUCCCAUGUUCACCUUCCCCAAAAAGCUCCCUCCUCGGCAGAAGAGGAAGAAGAAGAAGAUGAGCUCUGAUGAUGCUUUGAGCGACGAUGAGGUGAAGAAAGAGAAGAGCAGCAGCAAGGUGCAGGCAGACGGCGCAGUGCCUGCCUCCAUGGGCUUUGGGAAGAACGUUAAAGAGCUUCCAAGAGCAGCUGUCAGGAUCCUAAGCAACAUGACAUUCCUUUUUGUCAGCUUGUCAUACACAGCCGAGAGUGCCAUUGUCACAGCUUUUAUUACCUUCAUCCCCAAGUUCAUCGAGUCCCAGUUUGGCAUCCCAGCUUCCAAUGCCAGCAUCUACACUGGUGUGAUCAUUGUCCCCAGUGCUGGAGUUGGGAUUGUCCUGGGUGGCUACAUCAUCAAAAAGCUGAAACUGGGUGCAAGGGAAUCUGCCAAGCUGGCCAUGAUCUGCAGUGGGGUGUCUCUGCUCUGCUUCUCAACCCUCUUCAUUGUUGGAUGUGAAAGCAUUAAUCUAGGGGGGAUAAACAUCCCUUACACCACUGGCCCCACUCUUGCCAUGGCCCACAGGAACCUGACUGGGAGCUGCAAUGUGAACUGUGGCUGCAGGACUCACGAGUACGAGCCCGUCUGUGGCUCAGAUGGCAUCACCUACUUCAACCCCUGCUUGGCUGGCUGCAUCAAUGGUGGCAACCACAGUGCUGGGGUGCGCAACUACACCGAGUGCGGCUGCGUGCAGAGCCGGCAGGUGAUCACCGGGCCGGGCGCGGGGCCGCGCAGCCAGCUGCGCCUCGUCAUCCUCAAGACCUACCUGAACCACAACGGCUACGCCACCUCCGGCAAGUGCGACCGCACCUGCAACACGCUCAUCCCCUUCCUCAUCUUCCUCUUCAUCGUCACCCUCAUCACUGCCUGCGCACAGCCCUCUGCCAUCAUCGUCACGCUCAGCAGGUCUGUGGAGGACGGGGAGCGACCCUUUGCCCUCGGGAUGCAGUUUGUUCUGCUGCGGACUCUCGCUUACAUUCCCACGCCAAUUUAUUUCGGGGCUGUCAUUGACACCACCUGCAUGCUGUGGCAGCAGGACUGCGGCGUCCAAGGCUCCUGCUGGGAGUACGACGUCACCUCCUUCCGCUUCGUCUACUUCGGGCUGGCAGCUGCCCUCAAGUUCGUGGGGUUCUUCUUCAUUUUCCUGGCCUGGUAUUCCAUUAAGUGCAAGGAGGAGCAGCUGCAGAGGAGGAGGUGGAGAGCGUCGCCGGUCAGCACUGUGAGUGAGAUGGUUGGCCCGGCCAGACCCCGGCACAGCUAUGCACGGACUAGAUCCUGCCCUGCCUUCGGCUGCCGAGGAGAGCCUGACGUGGCACCAGGGCUGAACUGCGUGGCACAGACCUACCCCCGCCCCUUGUCAGAAGCAAUAAAUUCCUCCCGUGAGAACGCCCUGGAAGAAGUCACCGCUGAGAUCUAGGCCUGGCUGGGUGCUGCCUCCUGGGUUUUGCUGGUUGCCCAGGACCGGCGCCUGUCAAACACCUGUGCCUUCAAUGCUUCACGUGGGGUGGUGACACCAGCACAGCUUCCUGCAGCGACCCCAGCGCCUUCCUGAGGGCUGGAUACCUCAAACCAACCCCUCCCUGCUCCCCUCCCAGCAAUGGCAUUUUGAGAAGUCCUGUUUGUCAUUGUUGCAGAUGUGUCCAUUAAAUGUCUGUGCACUGACCCGGGGGAGCGGAGCCGCUGGAGGGGUGACAGAACCUCGUGUCCUUGGCGUCCAGGUGUCAUGGAAAUGCUUCAGUGUCUUCAGCCUCACCCCUGCACCUCCUGUUCUCCAGAGCUGGGGAGUUACUGUGAAUUCUGCUACAAAGCACAACUGUUUCAACUAUGCAACUGGUGGGGAAUGGUUUGUGCAGCAAAGCCAGCCUAAGGUUUGCCUUUGGGUUGCUGCUGCUCCUCAGCCUGAAAGGGGUUGUCCACAGCAUGGCAGAGAAGACCAGGUGCAAGGUGCUGCCAGUGGCCUGUAAAGCCAUACAGAAGUUGUGCAUCAGGUCACCAAGGCUGAGUCGUGGUGCCCUCGUCCCGUCGGCAUGUGCUGGCUGGAUGUGCUCCUGCUUCACAGCUGCAGGGGCUGAGCGCUGCCAUGCCUGGGGUGAAGCACUUCAGAGCUGGCCCAGGCAGCACCCCCCUACCCCAGGGCAGGCAGGGGCCUGCUUCUGCAGUGUCACUUUGGGUGUUGCUAGCAUCAAGCCCCCACUUCCCUGAAGACUGACAAACCAGUUAGAGCUUUAUUGGAAGGAUCCCAGAAUCCCAGCAUAGUGGUGUUUGGAAAGGACCUCUGGAGGUCAUCCAGUUCAACCCUCCUGCUCCAGCAGGGCACCCACAGCAGCUUGCCCAGGAUCACAAUGGCCAGGGGGUUUGGAAGCUCUCCAAUGAGGAGGCUCCACAGCCUCUAUGGGCAGCCUGCUCCAGGGCUCUGGAGAGAAGUUUCUCCUCAUCUUCAUAUGGAACCUCCUGGGCUCCAGUUUGUGCCUGUUACCCCUUGUCCUGUUGCUGGGCACCACUGACAAGAGUCUGACCCUACCUUCCUGUCCCCCUUUAUCUCUUGCUGAGCACUGAUCAGGUCCCCUCUGGGGCUGCUCUUCUGCAGGCUCUUAGUCUUUGCUCCUCACAGAGCUGCUCCAGGCCCCUCAGCAUCCUCAGAGCUGUGUCCCUCAGAGUGAGUGACCAGCUGUGCUCCCCACCACUGAGGACAGCUGGCAGGAGGUGCUGGUGCAGGGCCCCAGUCCCUCUUGUUCCUGCCCUUACUUCAAACUCGUGCGGUGUUGUCUCCCCAGGAGAUGCUGAGAUCUUCUCAUCCAGUGUGCUUGGCAUCUUGCUGCUGGCUUUGGAGGUUUCAUAGUGCCAUGCUUGUGAUCUGCUAGUGAUGUCUCCAAGGGCAGGGCAUGGCCUCAGGUGGACGCUGGGAAGUGAAAGCUGUCUUGUACCCUGCAGGGAAAGUCUUAGAGGUUUAGGAAAUGAAAAGCACUGAUUUGAGAGGCCUCUGGUGGUCAGGUUUGGGUUUUGCCACGUGGAGAGCUUCUGAGAAAAUAAAUGGGAAAGAGCAUUAGUUGGACGUUGUUCUGAGCAGAGUUAGCCCUGGUUCAGCUCUUGGUUAAUCCUGCCUGAGCAGGUUAAUCCUGCCAUUCACCCUCAAAUCCUUUUGGGUAGGCUCAAGGAUCUGUUCUGGCUCUUCCUGCACUCAUUGUUGGGAGAUUUUUCUGGCUGGAAAGCUGCAUCUUGAGGACAUCUUCCUGACCUUGGAGCCAGGAAACUGCUUGGGUUGUGCCCUCCCACAGAACUUGGACCUGGAGGCUCAGGUCCCACAUGGCCUGCAGCAUGGCUGGGAGAGGAUCUUGCCACUCCUGGGCUGUCCUGGUGGGUUCUUCCCAAACACCUUGAUCACUGCUGCCUUACUGUGUGUUCUGUGUAACACCACAGCUCUUUGUAGCAUUCUGUUGACAUCAGGCUGAUUAUAAAUAGGUCCAAAGUGUCUUACUGCUCUUCUGGAGCCAGAGUCCCAGCUUCACCAGUCCACUGAUGGGGCUGAAGAACUGGGCCAGUACCUGGGUUGGGCACUGCUUUAGCAGGGAUGUGUGAACCAGGUGCUGUCAGGUACUUGUUGACCUUUUGUACUCUGGUCUCCAGCACUGCUCUCAAAGACAAGGUUGUUCCUAGCCAAGGUUAUCCCUUUCUGUGUCUUCUCUAACAGCAGGGGAGGUGCUGUGCUGCAGGGGCUGGGUGCCCCCAGCUGAAGCCACCCAGAUGUGUUUGCUCUCCAGGUGCUUUAAACCAUGAGGUGUACCUGGACUGUGGUUGGAGGUUAGCUCUGUAUCACACAGCUCAUGUUCUUCAUGUCUUGGACCUGAGGUUAGAGACAUUUUCAUCCUUUAGUGUGCUUAGAAGCUGGGCAGUUGCACAGUGGUGCUAGGUCUGUUCCUGGGUGUAGCAUUAGGGUUUCCUUUUCUCCUUGUGCCCUCUUGCUUUGCAAAUAACAGUUCAGAGGUUCUGUGUAAAGGUGGUGGAGAGUGGAGACCUGGGGACUAGGCAUGGACAGGGCAGUCUUUGCUCUGAGCAUCACUAAGCUGUGCUGUGAUGUGGCUGAAGGUUUGGAAGGCCACCUGAGCUGCAGGGAUGGCAUUUCCCAGGUCCUGCCCAUGGAAACUCAAGACAACAACUGGCAUCCAUGGCAUACAGCCACAGUGAGCUGCAGCUUUGGCAGCUCCCCCUCCCCACCCCGAGUCCUUCAGCUCUGCUUAGACACAGGCACAGCUCUGCAAACCCAGAGGCUCCAAACCUCUCUUGGGUCCAAGUACUAUGACACAGGUGCUUGUUUAGCCCAGCCCCAUUCUGCUUCUCCAGCUGAUGUGUUGUCCCUUCUGUUUCCUGUGCUUAGUGUGUCUGCCUCAGUUGUCACAACCUUGUCCUGUGAGAAGCUGUGGAAUUCAUGAAGGGCUACAAAAAGCAUCCAAAGCAUUGCUCACCUCAGCCAGGGUGAGCCAGCAAGAUGAUCCUGGCACAAGUGGCUGAGCAACACUGUGGUGCUAGUGGGUACCGAAGUGUUGGUGAUGUGGUCACCAUGGCUUACCUGAGGUGCUGGAGGCAUGUGAGGUGGUCACCAUGGCUUGCCUGAGGUGCUGGAGGCAUGUGAGGUGGUCACCAUGGCUUGCCUGAGGUGCUGGAGGCAUGUGAGGUGGUCACCAUGGCUUGCCUGAGGUGCUGGAGGCAUGUGAGGUGGUCACCAUGGCUUACCUGAGGUGCUGGAGGUGUGCCAGGGCUGGCUUUCUGCUCAGAGCCUGGGCUGCUUCAGCACAGUGCUUGCAGGUCCUGAGGGCAGCUCCCUGCCAAGCUCUGCUGAAAGGAAGUCCUUCCAGGAGGCCGGGCAGCAUUUGGCCGAGGGCACAGCUCAGGGAAAGGCUGUGCAGGAGUCCACAGAGAACUGCUCCUGCUGUAGCAUGGUACUGGACUUGGCCAGAGGCUGGGGGUCAGUGCUGUAGCCACGGCAAGAAACACAGGGCUAUGUUCUGGGACACCUUAAGUAGUUUUGGAAUGAAAUUGAGGAUUCACAGCUGAAAUAAGAAUGUUUGGGUUCAAAGAGAGAGGUCUGGGUUUAAAAUCUCGAGGCCAAAACUUUUCUCUUCUCUUUUGAAUGCUGUAAGGUAAUUCCUGGGUGUUACUGUGCUGGACUGCUCCUGCAGAGGUGUCUGUACCCUCAGCAGCACAGAAUGCUCCCCUUCCAACCCAAGAGGUUGGGAAGUCUAUCUCUUCCACAGACUCCGUACUUGAAACCAUGGAGGGAAAGGUCAAAACAAAAUCAGUGUAUGGAAUGAUCCCAAAGGGAGAAGUGAAUUUGGAACUGAAAUCAGUGAGGCCAUGGCUGAGCAAAGCUCUUCCUGCCCCACUUGGGGGAAUUUCUGCCCUCUGCUGCAGGCAGAUCUGUCCCAAACACUGUGAGCAGAGAGGGCAGCACAAGGGUUGAGCUCAUAAAACCUCGUUAAUGAGAACUGGGGGGAGGGAGUGGCAGUCCCAGCUGUGAGGCUGGGCCGUGUCUGCCGGCAGCCUCCUGGCUGGAACACUCUCGGGGGCGGCUGUUUCUCAGCAGAGCUUAAGCUAAUUUUCCAGCUGUGUGAGUCCUCAGUCACUGGAGCGCAGUGGCAGCAGCUGUGGCGGGCAGCUGUUCCCAAAGCCAACUCUGGAAUACUUGACCUUUGGAAAUAAAGCGAUUGCAUAUC